AGCUCAGUGGUGAGAGCGAGCGGCUCAUAACCGCCAGGUCGCUGGUUCAAAUCCAGCA
rnacentral:tRNA from 1 species